UGACCUUGUGAUCCACCUGCCUUGGUCUCCCAAAGUGCUGGGAUUACAGGCGUGAGCCACUGCACCCGGCGAGUCUGGGAUUCUUAGAAUGGGUGUGGUGGAAACACUGAAGCGUCACUUUAUCCAACCUACUUUAUCCCCAGGUGGCCAAGUUGGGGCACAGAGUGUGCUAAGUAUGAGCCUAGUGUCACACAGUCUGUGAGUGAGGGUCCAACCUACAACCCAGGCAGAUCUCACUCCCUCCUAAUGUUCCUUCUUCCUACAGAAAUGUCUUGGAGCUAGGUAAUUGUUAUUGUGAGAUUAUUUCCCACUUUCACCUUUGACCAUGAAGAGAAUCAGAAACAAGAACUUUAUGACAUUCUUUCAGACAUCAGUGGAAAGGUGACGUGGGCAGGGACCCUGAGACAAGCCCUGGGGAAUGACAGACAUAUUGCCUGCCCUUACAUUCUUGCUGGCAGCAAAGGCAGAGCUAGGUUUGAUUUUUGGCAGAAAUGACAUUUCUUGGGCAGUUAUCUCCCUUGCAUUCUUGUUACCUCCAGAUGACCCAUAGCCAGACAUCCUCAUCAGGGUCAUAUUCUGCCUACAUAUUGGAACUUAGGGAAAUUGGUUAGCUUUAUUUGAUAGCCAGUUACUAGCUGAGUGGGCCUAGCAAGUGAUGUCACCUCUCUGAGCCUCUAUGUACUCAUUUGUAAAAUGGGGAUGAAUGAAGUACUUGCCAUGCCUACUUCACAAGAUGUUGAUAUAUGUCAGAUGGGUCUAUAUAUGUUAGGAGGGCUUUGUGAUGUCAUGGCCAAAUACAAGUUGUUAAUGUGACCAUUAGUAGCCAUGGGCCAGCUAUAAGCAGCCAGCUCAAGAGGCCAGCUUCCGCAGAUGUGGGCUGGGACAGGGAAACAGCAGAAAGCAAAGGCAGCCAAUGUGAAGACAUGCAGAGGUCCCUCCUCUCAGAAGCCAGCUGCAGUGACAGAGCUGGCAGCAGUGGAUAUGGGGCCAAGUCACAUGGAGGCCAGUUGAGGAAACAGUGGGUGUUGGCCUGGAGAAGAGCAGUCUUGGGCAGGACAUGAGAGUUUUCUUUGCACAACUGAAGAGCUGUCAUAGGGCAGUGGGAGCAGGUGUGCUCUGACGGGGUCCAAGGUGAGGAACUAAAACCAUUGGUCUGGCUAUAUCACAGGGAAGUAAUAGAAGAAAACAGUUGAAGGCUCUAGAGCCAGGGGUUCAAAUCUCAACGUCACCACUGGUUAAUAUUAUUAAAUUUUUAGAGACAGGGUCUUGCUGUGUUGUCUAGGCUGAUCUCAAACUCCUGACCUCAAGCAAUUAUCUCACCUUUGUCUCAGUGAUUACAGGCAAUCCCAGUGCUGUAUUACGGGCAUGAGCCACCUCACCUAGCCAAGUUCACCACCUAUUCACUUGGACAUGUUAUUUAUGCU
rnacentral:lncRNA from 1 species